CCUACUCCACGGAGCUACUGGUUUGUAUUAAUGAAGCUUACAAACAAUACAAACAAAGGAGGAGGAGAUAAAACUCUCUCAACUCAACUCUACUCUCUCAAGCUCUCUCUAUUCUUCUCUGUUCUCUCUUCUCUCUGUGUUUCUCACGCUGCUCUCUCUGUGUUCUUCAUACACACACAGCUAUACAUAUACAAUUGAUGAUUGAAGGGGCAUGAUUGAUGCCCACCGUUGCCUCCACUUUGUGUCCUCCACCAUGUGCCAAGUGGGAGAUUAGGUAUUCCCACUUGCAUAUGGUGGGACAUUGUUUGUCUCCACUAACUAACAAUCUCCCACUUGGAGACAAACAAUGAAAUCAUCAUUUAUCCUUGAAGACCAACUGAAGUUUUACACAACUUCAGUUUAUCAAGUGUAACUCCUUUGGUUAACAUGUCAGCUGGAUUCUUGCUUCCACAGACCUUUUCUAGCAUUAGUUGCUCGUCAUCCAGCAGUUGUCGGAUGAAGUGAUAUUUGAUCUGAAUAUGCUUCGUCCUGGAGUGAAAUGCUGGAUUCUUGGCAAGGAAGAUUGCACUCUGACUGUCGCUAUACAAAGUACCUUUUCCAUUCAACUUGCCCAAUUCCUUCAGGAAACUCUGCAACCAUACUAUCUCUUUUGCAGAUUCUGAGACUGCAACAUAUUCAGCUUCUGUUGUUGAAAGAGCAACGAUCUUUUGCAAGGUAGAACUCCAGGAAACAGCAGUACCUCCUAGAGUAUAAACAUAUCCUGUAGUGCUCUUUCUGCUAUCAACAUCUCCUGCUAGAUCAACAUCUACAAAACCUUCAAGUUUCAAACCACCAGCUGUGAAACUGAGACAAGUUUCCGAGGAACCUUUUAAGUACCUCAUGAUCCAUUUGACCGCCUCCCAAUGCUGCUUUCCAGGAUUGCUCAUAUAUCGGCUUACAACUCCCACUGCAUGGGCAAUGUCUGGUCUGGUACAGACCAUAGCAUACAUCAAAGAGCCGAUAGCUGAGGCGUAUGGAAUCUUAUCCAUGUAUCCACUUUCUAGCUCAGUUUUUGGUGACUGAUCUUUGCUGAGCUUGAAAUGAUUCCCCAGUGGUGUACUUACUGGUUUAGUAUUAUCCAUACUAAACCUGCUGAGAACCUUCUUGACAUACUCUGUUUGUGAAAGCUUUAGUACGCCUUUGUCUUUAUCUCUGAAGAUUCUCAUGCCAAGUAUUUGUUUAGCAGCUCCCAGAUCCUUCAUUUCAAACUGUUUUGACAACUGCUGUUUCAGCUUAUCAAUCUCCUCAAUGCUGGAUCCUGCAAUCAACAUAUCAUCAACAUAUAAUAGUAGAAUGAUGUAGGAGUUGUCAAAAUGUUUGACAUAGCAACAAUGAUCAGCUUGGCAUCUUGUAUACCCGGAACUGCACAUGAAGUUGUCAAACUUCUUGUACCACUGUCUUGGAGCUUGCUUCAAACCGUAUAGGCUUUUCUGUAGCUUGCAGACUUGAUUCUCCUUUCCUUGCAUUGCAAACCCUUCUGGCUGUUGCAUGUAAAUAUCUUCCUCCAAGUCACCAUGAAGGAAUGCUGUUUUUACAUCUAACUGUUCAAGAUGUAAAUUUUCUGCAGCUACUAUCCCCAGAACAACUCUGAUUGUUGUGAGCUUCACAACUGGAGAAAAUAUCUCAGAGUAGUCAAUGCCUUUCUUUUGUUGAAACCCUUUGACAACAAGUCUUGCCUUGAACCGUUUACUUCCGUCAUGCUCAGUCUUCACUCUGUAAACCCACUUGUUUUGUAAAGCCUUCUUUCCUUCAGGCAGUGUGGUUAGCUCCCAAGUCUUGUUCUUCAGCAACGAACUCAUCUCAUCCUUCAUGGCUAACUCCCACUUGCUUGAGUUUCCAUCUUGUAAGGAUUCUUCAUAAGUUAGCGGUUCACCACCAUCUGUCAACAAAAUGUAAUUCAGUAAAAGUGUGAACCGUUGCGGGGGCUUUAUCGUCCUCGAAGACCUGCGAACAGCUGGUUCAAUUUGCUCCGCAUCUUCUUGUGUAGUAGCGGGUACAGAUAUGCUUGAGUCUUCUUGUAAAGACUCUUGAUUGUUGUUCUGCUCAGUAACAUCGGGAAGGCCUUCUAAUCUUAUGAAUUCAGAUUCUUGUGGCCUUGUAUCUGAAUCAGCCUUAUCUGUUUCUGCACUUGAUCUGGCUUUGUACAGAACUUUCUCAUUGAAGAUCACGUUCCUGCUUCUGAUAAUCUUUCUAUUCUGAUCAUCCCAGAACCGAUAUCCAAAUUCUUCAUCUCCAUAGCCGAUGAAGAAACAUUUCUUGGAUUUGGCAUCCAACUUGUUGCGAGCAUCAGAAUCUAUAUGAACAUAGGAAACACACCCAAAGACCUUUAAAUGAGAGAGUUGUACCUCUUUUCCUCUCCAUACUUCCUCGGGCAGUCUGAACUCCAAAGGAACUGAUGGUCCACGGUUGAUCAAGUAAACUGCGGUAUGAACUGCGUCGGCCCAGAAUGUUUGAGGUAACCCUGAAUGCAACCUCAUGCUUCUAGCUCGUUCAUUGAUGGUCAUGUUCAUCCGUUCAGCAACGCCAUUCUGUUGCGGUGUGCCUGGAACGGUCUUUUCCAUUCUGAUACCAUUAACAGCACAAUACUCUUUGAAACCUCCAUCAAUGUAUUCUCCUCCGUUAUCGGAUCUCAAGCAUUUCAACUUCAGACCUGAUUCAGUCUCAACCAUAGCCUUCCACUUCUUGAAUGUUUCAAACACAUCAGAUUUAUUUUUCAGAAAGUAAACCCAUACCUUCCUGCUGAAAUCAUCAAUGAAAGUCACGUAAUACCGAGAACCUCCAAGAGAUGCUACUGGAGACGGUCCCCAUAAAUCUGUGUGUACCAGCUCUAGCUUUCUUGGUCUUAAGGUCCUGCCAACCUUCAAGAAACUGAGCUUUUUCUGUUUUCCAAGAACACAGCUUUCACAAAUGUCUAGAUCGACAUUUUUUAAUUCUGCCAGCUUUCCCUUCGACUGAAGUAUCUUCAUCCCCUUUUGACUCAUAUGGCCGAGUCUACAGUGCCAUAGAUGUGCUUGAUUUUCUGCUUCAGUAGAGGCAAUAAUGUCUGCAAAUCUUGUGGUCAUAUACAGGGUGCCGGUUUUCUUUCCACGAGCCAAAACCAUUGCUCCCUUUGAUACCUUCCACAUACCUCCAGAAAAAAGGAUUGAAUGACCACUAUCAUCAAGUUGUCCGACCGAGAUCAGCUUCUUCUUUAGAUCAGGAACAUGCCUUACAUUUUGCAAGGUCCAUAUAGAUCCAUUCAUUGUCUUGAUUUGUACAUCUCCUAAACCCACAAUAUCCAAUGGUUGUCCAUCGGCCAGAUAGACUACACCGUGAUCUCCAGCAAUAUAGUUUUGCAUCAUUUCAUGGUGUGGUGUACAGUGAAAUGAAGCACCAGAAUCAAGAACCCAAUCAUCAACAGGACUAUGCACAGCAAGAAUCAAAGCAUCUUGCACCUCAUUUGUGGUAGCGUUUGCAGAGUCAGCUUCAGGUUUUUUUGGUUUUGUGCAAUUCCUCAUGAAAUGACCAGGUUUGCCACAAUUCCAACAUUCAACCUGCUUUCUGGGUCCAAACUUGCUUUUACUUCUAUAUCUUGAUUUUGAUCUGCCUCUGGAUAAGCCUCUAUCAUGUCUCCUCCCUCGAGUGUUGAUGUUGAGAGCUGAUCCUGAGCUUGAACUUUCACCCGAGUCUUUCCUUCGCACUUCUUCAGCCAAAAUCAAGUCUCGAAUGUCAUCAUACUUCAGUUUGGAUUUUCCAACUGAAUUGCUCACGGCUGUCCUCAUGCCUUCCCAACUGCUUGGAAGUGAAGCUAGCAAGAUGAGUGCACGAAUCUCAUCAUCAAACUCAAUCUCAACAAAUGAUAAUUGAUUUGUGAUGGUAUUAAAGUUAUUGAGGUGUUGUGUCACAGAAGUGUUUUCGACCAUCUUCAAGUUGAACAACUUUUUCAUCAGGUGCACUUUAUUAUUUGCUGAUGGCUUCUCAUACAUCCCAGACAAGGCUUCCAUCAAUCUUGCAGUGGAUCUUUCUUUCGUAACAUUGUGAGCAACUCUUCUUGAUAAGGAUAACCGGACAAUGCCCAGAACUUGUCUAUCAAGAAGUAGCCAAUCUUCUUCUUGCAUAUUUUCUGGUUUACUCCCCAACAAGGGAAGAUGAAGUUUCUUCCCAUAUAGAUAAUCCUCAAUUUGCAUUUUCCAGUAUCCAAAAUCUGUCCCGUCAAAUUUUUCAAUUCCAGCUGCUUUUAUUUCAUCUGCCAUUUUUACUACUUCUCCGAUUCGAAUUUCCCAAAUCUGACCUUACAGAUGUGUCCGGAACAGCCGAAAACCUUGGAAAUGACAAUGAGAUCACCCCAAUCGGACUUCGGAUGGCUCAGAUUUUAGCAAUCAAAGUUUUGAAUUAACGGACGGUGCAGAUGCAGCCGCGUGUCAACCAGAGUACCGCCUGCGUCGCACCGGAUCAAAACCUAAGUAGCGGUUCUGAUGAAGCCACGUGUCAGCAGAUUAGGUCCUGCGUCACACCGUAUCAAAACUCAGUAACGGUUAUGAUGAAGCCACGUGUCAGAAGAUGAUGGCCUGAGUCACACUGGAUCAAUACUCAAUAGUGGUCCUGAUUUAACCACGUGUCAACUGAUUGGAUCCUGCGUCGUACUGGAUCAAAACCCCUCCACGUGUCAGAAUAUCAGCUUCUGCGACACAUCGGAACAAAACUCAGCGAUGACGUGGCAGGUGACGUGGCAGGUGACGCGGACGUUGACCGUACGGCUGUGCUGACGUGGCGGGUCAGCCCGACCCGUUUUGCAGAAGCCGGGCGAAGAUGGAGCGUGGCGCGCGUACGGCGCGUUGGUGCGCGUGGGCAGUCUGGGCGUCGGCGCGUGUGGGCGCGUGCGGGCAUGCAGGACGUCGGUUCUUCGCCGAGUUUGCAACAGUGGAUUCGUCCGGUUGUCCUCUACACGAUGGUAUGUUCAAAAACACAUUUGGAGAACUUUGAUUUUUGAGUUUGGAUCAAACACCCUCUUUGUCAAGAACAAGCUCUGAUACCAGUUGUUGGGCUAUUUCCAGAACUCAAUCACACACAAUUUACGUGGUUCGGCAACUUGCCUACUCCACGGAGCUACUGGUUUGUAUUAAUGAAGCUUACAAACAAUACAAACAAAGGAGGAGGAGAUAAAACUCUCUCAACUCAACUCUACUCUCUCAAGCUCUCUCUAUUCUUCUCUGUUCUCUCUUCUCUCUGUGUUUCUCACGCUGCUCUCUCUGUGUUCUUCAUACACACACAGCUAUACAUAUACAAUUGAUGAUUGAAGGGGCAUGAUUGAUGCCCACCGUUGCCUCCACUUUGUGUCCUCCACCAUGUGCCAAGUGGGAGAUUAGGUAUUCCCACUUGCAUAUGGUGGGACAUUGUUUGUCUCCACUAACUAACACU
rnacentral:lncRNA from 1 species